UCCCUGGUGGCUCAGCUGGUAAAGUGUCUGCCUGCAAUGCAGGAGAUCCAGGUUCAAUCCCUGGGUUAGGAA
rnacentral:tRNA from 1 species